AGAGCGAACGCUGGCGGCAGGCCUAACACAUGCAAGUCGAGCGGCCGUAGCAAUACGGCAGCGGCAGACGGGAGAGUAACACGUGGGAACGCGCCCUUCGGUUCGGAAUAACUCAGGGAAACUUGGGCUAAUACCGGAUACGCCCUUACGGGGAAAGAUUUAUUGCCGAAGGAACGGCCCGCGUCCGAUUAGCUUGUUGGUGAGGUAACGGCUCACCAAGGCGACGAUCGGUAGCUGGUCUGAGAGGAUGACCAGCCUCACUGGGACUGAGACACGGCCCAGACUCCUACGGGAGGCAGCAGUGGGGAAUAUUGGACAAUGGGCGCAAGCCUGAUCCAGCCAUGCCGCGUGGGUGAUGAAGGCCCUAGGGUUGUAAAGCCCGUUUCGGGCGGGAAGAUAAUGACGGUACCGCAGAAGAAGCCCCGGACUAACUUCGUGCCAGCAGCCGC
rnacentral:rRNA from 1 species